rnacentral:snoRNA from 1 species
AUUUCAUAUCGGGGACACUUCUUCAAAAGUAACUUAAAUUGAUCCCAAGCUUCAUAUAAGUUUUCGCCUUUAAAUUGCUUGAAGUUGGCGAUCUCAUGACGAAGUU